UACGUAGGGGGCUAGCGUUGUCCGGAUUUAUUGGGCGUAAAGCGCGUGUAGGCGGCCAUACAGGUCCGUUGUGAAAACUCGAGGCUCAACCUCGAGACGUCGAUGGAAACCGCAUGGCUAGAGUCCGGAAGAGGAGAGUGGAAUUCCUGGUGUAGCGGUGAAAUGCGCAGAUAUCAGGAAGAACACCCGUGGCGAAGGCGGCUCUCUGGGACGGUACUGACGCUGAGACGCGAAAGCGUGGGGAGCGAACAGGAUUAGAAACCCCAGUAGUCC
rnacentral:rRNA from 1 species